UACGAAGGGGGCUAGCGUUGCUCGGAAUCACUGGGCGUAAAGCGCACGUAGGCGGCUUUCUAAGUCAGGGGUGAAAUCCUGGAGCUCAACUCCAGAACUGCCUUUGAUACUGGAGAGCUUGAGUAUGGGAGAGGGAUGUAGAAUUCCAGGUGUAGCGGUGAAAUGCGUAGAUAUCUGGAGGAAUACCGGUGGCGAAGGCGGCAUCCUGGACCAUAACUGACGCUGAGGCGCGAAAGCUAGGGGAGCAAACGGG
rnacentral:rRNA from 1 species